rnacentral:rRNA from 1 species
UACGAAGGGGGCUAGCGUUGUUCGGAAUUACUGGGCGUAAAGCGCACGUAGGCGGACUACUAAGUCAGGGGUGAAAUCCCGGGGCUCAACCCCGGAACUGCCUUGAUACUGAUAGUCUCGAGUCCGGAAGAGGUGAGUGGAAUUCCGAGUGUAGAGGUGAAAUUCGUAGAUAUUCGGAGGAACACCAGUGGCGAAGGCGGCUCACUGGUCCGGUACUGACGCUGAGGUGCGAAAGCGUGGGGAGCAACAGG